UGAAUCCAGUGCCUUUUCUCUCUGGUCCUAGUGAUGCAUUAAACUGUUAUCUUUACCCUUACAGGAGUGGGCCUAUUGACUCUCAAAGGCAAUUAUAGAUUGGAAUGGACUAAAAGAGGAAAAGAAUCGGGUAGAGGCAGCUGUGGGCGGAGGCUGCAUCUGAGGACCCUCGCACCCUGGAAGUUGAUGUCUGUACCUCUCUGCAUCACUAAAACAAAGUAGGAUGACCAUCCCUCUUCUCUUUAAAACAAAAACUUUCAAAUUGAUCUUCUGUGGCCACUUUGCUUCUCUAGGGUUGUCUAAUCUGG
rnacentral:lncRNA from 1 species